GCGACCCCAGGUCAGACGGGACUACCCGCUGAGUUUAAGCAUAUAAAUAAGCGGAGGAGAAGAAACUUACAAGGAUUCCCCUAGUAACGGCGAGCGAACCGGGGAA
rnacentral:rRNA from 1 species